rnacentral:lncRNA from 1 species
AUAAUAAAAUGCAAUUUGCUAUAGAGCUUUGCAAGAAAUGUGAGUGGAGUGUGGCGUUUGAAGGCGAGUAUUCUAUUGGUGCCUGCUGUGUACACUAUGCUAGAUGCAUUCCAUGUGUAAUUUCGUCCAUCCCUCUGCCAGGUAUAUGGAUUAAUUUGAUCAAAAGAGUUGGCUUCAGGCUCCCAUUGUUCUUCAUCAGCCAUCAACAAAAGCAUCAGAAGAACGAAUAAAUCCUAGCUAUCAAAACUCUUCCUAUCUGAACGCAGGAACCUAAUGGACUUGGAUAAGUGGUAUCUAAACGCUCAUAAUCUGGACUCAGGAACUAAAGAGAUUAAGGUGAAAGUGCGGCAUUUACUCACUGCUGGACAGAAGCCAUUUCUUGAUAUGCUGCUCCUAUGUGUUAUCAUGUCAACCCCAUCUUUCCAGAGAUACUCUGUAUUUGGAGCCAUUGGGAGUUGGAAGUCAGCAAACUUGAACUUGUUCCUUAGACCUGAUGCUUGAAGCCCCUGCCUCGCCUCUAACUGUAUCUCCCAUAUUUCAGCACUUCCUGGCUGCCAAGGAAAAGCAUCCCCCCUGGCAGAGGCUGUAGGGGCUGGUACCCCUGUUGGACAAUAAAAUAAAAUUUGGUAACA